UACGUAGGGUGCGAGCGUUGUCCGGAAUUACUGGGCGUAAAGAGCUCGUAGGUGGUUUGUCGCGUUGUUCGUGAAAACUCACAGCUCAACUGUGGGCGUGCGGGCGAUACGGGCAGACUGGAGUACUGCAGGGGAGACUGGAAUUCCCAGUGUAGCGGUGAAAUGCGUAGAUAUUGGGAGGAACACCAGUGGCGAAGGCGACUUUCUGGACUGUAACUGACGCUGAGGCGCGAAAGCGUGGGGAGCAAACAGG
rnacentral:rRNA from 1 species